rnacentral:misc_RNA from 1 species
GAUGAAGAACGUAGCGAAAUGCGAUACGUAAUGUGAAUUGCAGAAUUCAGUGAAUCAUCGAAUCUUUGAACGCAUAUUGCGCUCUCUGGUAUUCCGGAGAGCAUGCUUGUUUGAGUAUCAGUAAACACCUCAACUCCCUUUUCUUUUUUUAAAUUGGAGCUGGACUUGAGUGAUCCCAACGCUUUCUUCCAAGAAAGUGGCGGGUUGCUUGAAAUGCAGGUGCAGCUGAACUUUUCUCUGAGCUAUAAGCAUAUCUAUUUAGUCUGCCUAAAAAACAGAUUAUUACCUUUGCUGCAGCUAACAUAAAGGAGACUAGUUCUUGUGCUGACUGAUGCAGGAUUCACAGAGACAGCUUCGGCUGACUUUGUAAACUCGAUCUCAAAUCAAGUAAGACUACCCGCUGAACUUAAGCAUAUCAAUAAGCGGAGGA